CCCCGGUAAACGGCGGCCGUAACUAUAACGGUCCUAAGGUAGCGAAAUUCCUUGUCGGGUAAGUUCCGACCUGCACGAAUGGCGUAAUGAUGGCCAGGCUGUCUCCACCCGAGACUCAGUGAAAUUGAACUCGCUGUGAAGAUGCAGUGUACCCGCGGCAAGACGGAAAGACCCCGUGAACCUUUACUAUAGCUUGACACUGAACAUUGAGCCUUGAUGUGUAGGAUAGGUGGGAGGCUUUGAAGUGUGGACGCCAGUCUGCAUGGAGCCGACCUUGAAAUACCACCCUUUAAUGUUUGAUGUUCUAACGUGGACCCGUAAUCCGGGUUGCGGACAGUGUCUGGUGGGUAGUUUGACUGGGGCGGUCUCCUCCUAAAGAGUAACGGAGGAGCACGAAGGUUGGCUAAUCCUGGUCGGACAUCAGGAGGUUAGUGCAAUGGCAUAAGCCAGCUUGACUGCGAGCGUGACGGCGCGAGCAGGUGCGAAAGCAGGUCAUAGUGAUCCGGUGGUUCUGAAUGGAAGGGCCAUCGCUCA
rnacentral:rRNA from 1 species